GGAGUGAAUUUAUAACCCAUGGUUAAGGUAAAAAAAAAAAAGUUUCAUUCUUGUAGAUAGCAACUACAGAGCUAUUUUAAUAAUUCAGAGACCAUCAUAUAUUGGUUCAAAUUCACUAAGGCCAGAAAUCCUUUAAUGAAUUAUGUUGUCUAUUUCUGGAAAUCCAACAAAGCAUGAAUCACUGUUUUUACACAAGUGUCUACUUAAAUUGUUAAGUGUUCCCUUAGAGCAAGUUUGUUUGCUUUUUAAUUAUGCACUGAAUUCACCACACUUGUCCAAAGAUAGGGCUUUAUAGGAAGUCAGCCAUAAGAAAAAUUCAGGGAGAAUGGAGUCCCCCCACCCCUCCAUAUGAGGGUGUCUGGCAGGAAGGCCUUUGGGCGAGGCUGGUUAGGGACUGGUUGUCCCAGCAGUUGAAUCAAAGUUUCCUUUCAGAUCAGCAGUUCCUGGGAAAGAAUGCUGGUCUGUCACAUUCCUAUUGAGUAUGCGUAUAUCACCUUUUCCCUACAGAUGCUGUGUGACUCCUUAGCCUCUGUUUGCUUUGGCCA
rnacentral:lncRNA from 1 species